GAUGAACGCUGGCGGCGUGCCUAAUACAUGCCAGUCGAGCGAACGGACGAGAAGCUUGCUUUUCUGAUGUUAGCGGCGGACGGGUGAGUAACACGUGGAUAACCUACCUAUAAGGCUGGGAUAACUUCGGGAAACCGGAGCUAAUACCGGAUAAUAUUUUGAACCGCAUGGUUCAAAAGUGAAAGACGGUCUUGCUGUCACUUAUAGAUGGAUCCGCGCUGCAUUAGCUAGUUGGUAAGGUAACGGCUUACCAAGGCAACGAUGCAUAGCCGACCUGAGAGGGUGAUCGGCCACACUGGAACUGAGACACGGUCCAGACUCCUACGGGAGGCAGCAGUAGGGAAUCUUCCGCAAUGGGCGAAAGCCUGACGGAGCAACGCCGCGUGAGUGAUGAAGGUCUUCGGAUCGUAAAACUCUGUUAUUAGGGAAGAACAUAUGUGUAAGUAACUGUGCACAUCUUGACGGUACCUAAUCAGAAAGCCACGGCUAACUACGUG
rnacentral:rRNA from 1 species